UGACACACACAUGCAUAAAGUAACUAAUUCAAAACAAAUGGGUUCACUCUGUCACUCAGGCUAGAGUGCAGUGGUGCAAUCUUGCUCACUGUAGCCUCAACCUCUUAGGUUCAAGUGAUCCUCCCACCUCAGACUCCCAUCACUGAAAUUACAGACAUGAUGUGCCACCAUUCUCAGCUAAGUUUUAUUUUUACUUUUUUGUAAAUAUGGGGUCUCACUAUAUUGCCUAGGCUGGUCUCAAACUCCUGGGCUCAAGCAAUCCUCCCAAAUCAUCUACAAAAUCCAAGAUUUGUACAGCUUUGAUAAAAAACUAGUUUCAAAGGCCAAGAACUUGAUGGAGAGAGCAAGCAGAAUGGCUUACGAACAAUUGUCUUUUAUCUGGAAGAUUCGGUAAAUGAAAAGAGAAUACAUUUCCUUCCUAGAGAAAUCAAGCUGCAAAUAAACAGAAUGAGCUUAUAUCCUAAAUUCCGA
rnacentral:lncRNA from 1 species